rnacentral:rRNA from 1 species
GACGAACGCUGGCGGCAGGCCUAACACAUGCAAGUCGAACGAGUGGCGGACGGGUGAGUAAGGUCUGGGAAACUGCCCGAGGGAGGGGGAUAACUACUGGAAACGGUAGCUAAUACCGCAUACCAUCGGAUGUGCCCAGAUGGGAUUAGCUAGUAGGUGGGGUAAUGGCUCACCUAGGCGACGAUCCCGAGCUGGUCUGAGUGGAUGACCAGCCGCCCUGGCACUGAGACACGGUCCAGACUCCUACGGGAGGCAGCAGUGGGGAAUAGUGCACAAUGGGCGCAAGCCUGAUGCAGCCAUGCCGCGUGUAUGAAGAAGGCCUUCGGGUUUUAAAGUACUUUCAGCGAGGAGGCGUUACUCGCAGAAGAAGCACCGGCUAACUCCGUGCCAGCAGCCGCGGUAAUAC